UCGAAAACUUGUGAUGGCAAACCACUGUCGCCUUCCUGUUGUCUUACAGAACGUCCCUCUGGCAUUUAUCGAAUACACCCCCUUUUUAAGAAACUCGAGUGCUGAGGUAGAACAGGUCCUCUCUGGGAGCAUCUACCUCAGACGAUGUCUUAACCUGACUUACUCUGCUACUGAUGACAAGUUUGAGGAAAUGUGUCUCCACUUCAUUGUCACAGGAUGUACUGAAGAAGAACAGAAUAAUGCAUAUAAAGCUACAUCGAACUUACAUUACUUGGCUCUUUUGGUUCCCAUCAUUGCAUGCAUUUUGGGGAUCGAGUGAAAAAUUGGGUGCCUCAGACGGAGGGUGUCAUGCCUUCCCACACGGAAAUAACCUAUAUAAACAUAUAUGUUUUAAUAUAGGUUUUGAUAUAGGUUUUCAAUAUAUGUGACAUAUAUAAAAUUGGCG